AAUAUGUUCCAUGGUAAAGCUCGUUGUUCAAGAUGAGGAAACAGAGGCAAAUGAAGUUAAGCGACUUGCUCAAGGUCACACAACAGGUGCUACAUAGGGAAGGACCAUAGCCAGGGAACAAAAGAUUGAAAGGAUGAUGGUCAGUGAUCAAUAAGGCCAAAGCCCACCUUUUUAACA
rnacentral:lncRNA from 1 species